UUCAUUAUAAGGUGAAAAUUCCUGGAACUACCCUCCCUGAUUUGACAGUGUAUUCGGAGACCGCCACCAUAAGUCAGCUGAUACCUGGCCGGAACUACACGGUGGAAGUAUCUGCUGUGGAUGGAGACAACUUCACUGAAGGCGAUGCUGCCUCUCUCACGGUUUCCACAGUGCCCGGAAACAUUUUAGGUUUGACUGCUGAAAACAUCACGACAAAGUCCUUCAGCCUAACGU